rnacentral:sRNA from 1 species
GGUACCUUUAAAUUAGUACAGAGAUACUAAUAAGGUAGCGGUUCAGGACAUAGGAUUAUUGCAUUCUUAUGGUAAUGCGCUCCUUACAGGACUCUGUAAGGAGCUUUUUACA